CACAAUAUUGUUUAACAAAUUGCACUCAUAAAUUCCCGACAAGUGGGCAAAUAUUUGAUGAUUGGUCGAUAUUUAUGAGGAGGACUGUACGAGAGCUGAGAAGGGGGAAUAUAUGGGGGAUACAGGUGUCGGAGAUAAAUGGGCAGUGACUACUGUAUCUAAUCCAAAGCGUAUAAACUGCAAUCAGACUGAAUCACAAUAUUCGAGGCGUCAGUGAUAAAAAUUCGCCACAGUGCAACUAAAUGUAGUUGUCUAAUCGCCUUUAAUGGUGUUGUCCUGUACUUGGGACCCACUACGUGGGAGUAACCAUUAAAAAAUUGUGAAAACAAUUGCGUUUGUGAAUUAAUCAAGUUUUUUUUAAAAAUGCUGUGAAGCUAUUGUAGUUCAGAAUCGAUUGGUAUUCAGUUCAGGAAUCGAUCCAAAGUUGGCCAACUCUCGUAGUGCCAGUUGUUACAACGGAGGAGGUCUGCUAGACUAUAUGAUACCCGGUACUUCUUAAAGAAAUUAUGUAAUAAUAUUUUAAAAUAAAAUUUAUACAAACCUUUUUUAUUAUAUUUUUUCCACCCCACUUUAGUGUCUUAAGAAUUCCUAAUAAAAACGAAUUAAAUAUAAUUUUGAAAAGGGAAAAAAUGCAAUUUGUUUUUUAUUUUUUGUUUUUCGUUUUUUUGUUUUGGUUUGUUUGUUUUUUUUUUUUCAAUAAAUUUGUUAAGUGAUUCUUUUGUUCGUCUAGUUUAGUUAUGAGAAGUUUUCCCAGUUCUUAAUCGUUUUCAUUUUGUAAUUUGUUGAUUUCUUUUCGAUUUGUUUUUGUAUUAAAUGUGUAAGAAAACAUUGAUAAUUAUUUGUAUAUUUUUAUUUUAAGGAAUGUAAUUUUUUUGUUAUUUAUAUUUUGCUGUUCGAGAUAUAUGUUUUUGUUGACCCCGUCCCUCAACACUUUCUGACAAUAAAAUAGAAUUAAAAAAGUAAACAGAAAGAGUGCUAUUAGUUGUAUAGUAUUAUUCAUAAUUCAUAAUUCAUAAUUAUAUGGAAUACACAAAAAAUCUACAAUAAAUGGCCAAAAAAGACGACAAAAAAACGUGAAGAAUAAUAAUAAUAAUAAUUAGAGUAAUAGAGUAAGAGUAAUGAUAUUUUUUUAAAUUCACAUUAAUUGUUUUUGCUUCUCUUUUUUAAUGACUAUAACUAAGCAUAAUAAAUACAUUGUACAAAUUACAAAAAAUUACGUGGUGGACUGCACAUUGAGAGAUUAACGAAUCCAAUACAUAUAUCAAUUAAUAAUAUAUAUAGAUACAGAUGCGAAAGAAUAAUGCAUGGAAUCGAUUAAAUAAUGUUGUGGAAGUUAAACGUAAAAUUAAUCAUAAUCAUUGUGUAAAUUGUAAAUAUCACAAGCAGACGUCACUUGCAUCGUUGAUAAAUGUUUGUUUGUUUUUUUUUUUUUUUUGUAUUUUUUAUAUAUAUAUUUUUUGUAUAUAUAAGUGUUUAUGUAAUAUGGUGUUUAUGUUCUGCUUCUAAAUCGUGUCAAGUAUUUUUUUUUUAAGUGUCAUUGUGUUUCUGUUUCCAUCUCUUUCGGCUACUCGUAUGCCCUCUCUUUCGUUCCGCCCGUCUGCCGUCUCUUUCUAACUUGGUUUUGAGUUCGAUUUCGCUUCUUUUUUAUUUAUUUUUUGUUUUAUUUUUUAGUUUGAGUUUGAGUUUGAGUUUCGUUCAAUAACUAUUAA